CUGCCAAUUGGUCCUCUACUCCCAAGCAUCCAACAUGGCCAACCAACUUCACUUUGGACAGUGGAUGAAACCUGUCUUGAGUGGCUCAACAAGCAGCCUGAAUGCUCAGUCAUCUAUGUAUCCUUUGGGAGCUUAACCCUCUUCGGCAAAGACCAACUUCACGAACUCGCACUUGCCCUUGAGAACUUAGGCAGGCCAUUCUUGUGGCCGGACCUCAUCGAUAAGGCCGGGGCAGCUUACCCGGAGGGAUUCUUGGAUAGGGUGGGGGCGCAUGGCAAGGUGGUGGGAUGGUGCCCACAAAGGACAGUGUUGGCACAUCCUUCUAUAGCUUGUUUUGUGACCCAUUGUGGGUGGAACUCAACUAUUGAGGGGAUUAGCAAUGGUGUGCCUUUCAUAUGUUGGCCUUAUUUUGCGGACCAAUUCUUGAACCAGACUUACAUUGUAGAUAUAUGGAAGGUUGGGGUGGGGUUGAAGGCCAAUGAGGAUGGGGUAUUCUCCAAGGAAGAGAUAAAGAACAAAGUAGAAGGUUUGAUGGGUGACGAAGGAAUGAGAGAUAGGGUUCUGAAACUCAAAGAGGAAGCCAUUAGGAGUGUCACUGAGGAAUCUUCAAUGGAGAAUCUUAAUGGUUUUAUGAAAGCCAUGAAAGGUAAAUCAUAAUGGUAAAUCAUAAUGAAGGGUCCGUGGGACCCUCUCUUGCAGAACUAGGAACCUCAUUACCUAUAAUAUAUAUCAUUACAUAAUUCAUGUAAUGCUUUUGAGAGAGAGACAGGUCAAGUCCGCAGCGACACAGACCAAGAUCAGAAAGAGAUCAACAGAUCAUUUGAACAGGUUUGUUUGUGAUCUGUUCUGAUGACUGAAAAGAAUUUGCAAUUCCUAACUAAUCCUGCUACUCAUUCCUUCAUUUAAGAUUCUCCAAUUAAUAAAAUUAAAACUUGCUUUCCUGAUUAGAUCAGUAGGCAUUCAAUCUAUUUCGACUAUAUAAGGGAUCAUUGUCCUUUCUACAAUGAAGGAUAUGGAAUAGAUAUUAAUAAAAUAAAACAUAAUAGAUAUUAAUAAAAUAGAUCAAGAGAUCUAUUUGGACUUUAAGAACUAUUAAUUUUUCAAAACAAAAUGACCUUUACAAUACUAAAGCUAACAGAUCUCAUAUUUGACAAUUCUGAAUAAUUCUAACUUUUUUCUACCAAAAAUAAAUGGUCAUAUGGUAUGCAAUCCAUUUUCUUUUAUAUUAUUCAUAUUCAAUUGCACAUUUUAGUGAUAGGACACAUUCUUAUAAAUGAAAACGGGAACUCUUGAAAUUCUUGUUACAUUCCAUGAUGUUUUUGUCGCAUUUCAACAACAAAAAAAAAAGGAAAAAGAUUAGUUUGUAGGUCAUUACCUUGAACACGGAGGCAAUUAAGUCAGUUUACGUGGCUAUGUUAGAUCAAUUUUAACAGCAAAGCAUCCAUGGUUGGAGAAUUCCCAUAACUCAGAGGUUUUAGUGCCCAAGGCUUGAACUGAAUUAAUUUUCAGCAAAAAAAAAAGAAGGCUUUUACUGAAUUUACCACUCAACCUUUAAGUUUAUAGAUGCCUAUGAGUUGGUCCUUGGUUUUUAAUUUUUUAUUUGAAUCAUUUUUUAUAUUAUUAUUAAGUGCGCCGUUCAAAGAUGCAUGUGCAAUUCUGAUUUUCACAUGAAUAAAGUUCGUAAAAAAAUAAAAAAACAAAAAUCUAUUUUUGGCCCUCAUAUCCAUUGACAUUUAAUCUGAACCAAAUGGUGCUUGUGCACCCUUCCAAUGGUCCAUGCGACCAUUCAUUAUGAACCUUAUACUAUUCUGCAAUACAGUGUUCUAAAACAUGGUUCGGUGUCCCGCAUUCCUAUCCUAGAAACCGGUUUGAACUGGUGGAUCAGCGAUUCAAAUCUGGCUAACAGAACCAUGCAAAAAAGCUUGAAAGUUCUGAGAAAAUUUAGAGAAAAAAAAGGUGGGGCCGCAUCGGCUAGUUACCUGAUACAAUUGGCCAAUUCUGUUUGAGAGCCAGCUGGUUUCCGAUAUAUGAUGGGAACCGAAGACCGGCCCUACAAAUUUCCAGUCCUCUAAAAUACACUUUCUCAAUUGGCACUACAAGGAAGAAAGAUCCUGCCGAUGGGCAAUGGCCGAUACCCUAAUAAUGAUAAUCGGCAGUCAUGUGCCCCACAUAAUCAAACGCGCUAAAGGUAGAAAGUGACAGCUUUCCCUUUACCUCUUGCACGUAAGACUCCAUAGGCAGAUAAAGAAACUCGAUAGAGAGAUCCCUGUAUUAAUAGACAAGAGGAGCAAGAGGGAGAAAUCUACACGUAUGUAGAAAGAGUAACACAAAUGGAUAUACAGAUGAAUUAGGUAGCGAGAGAGAGAGGGAGAGAAGCACCAAACUCAACCAGAAUCACAAAUGAAUGUAGAAAGAAUGCUAGGUAAAUACGUAGAGAGAGAGAGAGAUGGGCAAGCCUCAUGCACUGGUGAUCAUCUACCCGGCCCAAGGCCACAUUAUACCCAUCAUAUCAUGGAGUUCUCGCACCGCAUGGUCGAGUACGGCUUCGCCAUCACCUUUGUCAACACCGAUUACAACCACAAGCGUGUCCUGGAAGCUGCGAAAGCCCAUCCCCAAGAUCGGCUGCGUGAUGGCACCGAACCUGUCCGGCUAGUCUCCAUACCAGAUGGGCGCAAGCCUGGUGCAGCCGGAACCAACUUGAUCCACUCUCAGUCCAUACUAAGCUCGAUGCCCCAUGCACUGGAAAAGCUCAUAAAUGACAUCACAAACGUACAAGGACUUGAGCUACACUGUGUAGUGGCUGGUGAACAUGGGGUGGGCACUCGACAUAGCCAAAAGGCUCGGCUUUGCUCGAGCCGCAGUCUGGCCUACGGCUACUACGUGCCUAACAGUGUUCCUCAAGAUCCCAGAUCUAGUCCAAAAUGGGAUCUUACAUGAAAAUGGUAUGUGUUCUUUUAUCCCUUCCCUACAUGGGCUACAAUGUUUAAAAAAUCGAUGACCCAGACUCAGACUUGCGAAAUUGACUUGGUAGGGUGUUAGGUCUAAUGAAAAGCACUGAAACUCAAGCAAGUCUUAUUGAGCCCUAGUCCCCAGCAGAGUUUGACUAAUCGGUCCGAGUGCCGAGUAGUCAGUCCGAGUGCCAAGUAGUCAGUCCGAGCACUCCGGCUCGGCACCCUGGCAAGCCUAGGUUACCCUGAGUUGGGUGUCCUGCUCAAGGAUAUUAAAAAAUCAACAAAAAAAAAUUCCCAAAAAAAAAAGAAUAUAUUUAUGAUAUAUUUUUUUAAGUUUCUUUGCAUUUUGGCAAAGAAUGGAAUGUGUUUUGGCCCUAAGAACUUAUUUUAUAUCUUCUCAUCUUUUUUAGGUUAUUUAACAAUACCCCCAAUCACUGGUUGAUUUUUUGAAAAUAUAUUUUUUUACUAUUUUUUUAAACUCAUUUUGAAGUGUUUUACUUAAAUCUUAUUUUAAACAUAGAUUUCCUUUCCUUUUUAUAAUUUUUAAAUAUAUAUUUUUGUUGCUAUAGUACUCAUCACUACUCGCCCCAAGUAGUGAUCUCCAACACCGGUCCCUAGAGUAUUUUACCUAAAGACUCCACCAUGUUGGAGUGUCCGCUCGCUCGGGUGAUUUAGUGGUUCUGGGCCCUAGCGAGCCUAAGCCCUUGUUUCCAAACACUGAUAUGGACCAAUGUUCAUGGGUGAGGAAUUGAAAUUCUAGCCAGUAAAUAUUGGGCCCCAACAACACGAUCAAUGUGGUCCUUGUAGCGCCAUGAAACAUCACCUUCCCAUUAGUGGCUUGGACGGUGAUGGAAGGGAGUGCCUCCCUCUAUCAUUUCUCUUCAUCACCAUCCAAACAGUUGAUUGAAUGGUGAUAAACCACAUGAUCAUCAUUUUUAUUGCACAUAUGGGUCAUACCAUAUUCCCCCUUGAGUAUUUUUUGUUUUCUCAUCGCUAUUUUGGGUGGGUAUACCAAAAGCUAUGAAAACCCCCUGGAUUUUUCGCUAUAUGUGGGAGGAGUAUAUCAUCGACCGCAGGGGCAUCCACCGUCUAUUUCUGACUAACGACAAGGGAGAUUAACUUCACCAGGGUAAAUGUCCCUCAUCAGGGAUUAGGUCCACCGUCUGGCGAUGCAAAUCAAUGCCCCAUUAGGGGGCAUUAUCGUCUGGCGAUCGUCGUAUGCUGUACUCAUGCGGUGUGGGAUAAUAGUUUCUGUUGUUUCUUCCUUUCGAAUGUGAAUCACUAGAAAUGAAACCCAAAAAUGUUGUGGCACCCUGUCGCCCUGAACACCGACAGCGUCAUCAUUCAUUUUGUUUUUCAACCUUUCUUCUAUUGGUCAACGUACCAUUGUGUCCAUGUAAAUCUUUUCCUUCAAUAGAUCUCCGACAAGGUCAAGAAGAUGAACAACCUUACCAUUGUGUUUUUCAUCUGAUAAGAUGGCUCCCACCUAUGUUCAAAAAGUUCAAUAACUGUUUCAACAAUUUUUGCUUUUUUUUUUUUUCCUUUUCUUUUUCCUGCAAAUAUUCAUUUAGGCAUGCAUGUAAUCAUAUAAUGUACCACAAUUAUGUGUUAAUAAUAUAAAAACAAUUGAAUUAUUACAAAAAAAAUUUUAUUUACUGUAAAUAUGGAAUUUUUCUACAAAUAUAAAGGGAACAAUGUCUUGGACUUUAAGCGUCCACUUGAUGGCCUCAAGCAGGUUCUUUUAGGCCCUAAUAGUGAAAAAGAAACAGAGUGAUGCUUAGGGAUGACAAGAUUUCUGAAUUUUUAGGUUUAUUGGGAAACAGAAGCGUGAUCCAACUCGCCCCAAACACACCCCUCAUCGACCGGAGUCACUUCCCAUGGCUUUGCAUCGGUGACACCACAGAACAGAAGGCCAUCUAUAGAUACUUUUGCCAAUUAAUCAACAGCCUUGACGGACUAGAAUGUACUGUGCAACUCCUCCUACGAACUUGAAGCUGCAACCUUCGACUCAUUCCCUAAUCUCUUGCGAAUUGGUCCUCUACUCCAAAGCAACCACCAUGGCCAACCAACUUCAAUUUGGACAGAGGAUGAAACCUGUCUUGAGUGGCUCACCAAGCAGUCAUCUAUGUAUCCUUUGGGAGCUUCACCCUCUUCGACAAACGCCAACUUCAUGAGCUCGCUCUUGCCCUCGAGAACUUAGGCAGGCCAUUCCUGUGGGUGGCCCGGCCGGACCUCAUAGAUAAAGCCGGGGCAGCUUACCCAGAGGGGUUCUUGGAUAGGGUGGGGGCCCAUGGCAAGGUAGUGGGAUGGUGCCCACAAAGGAAAGUGUUGGCACAUCCUUCUAUAGCUUGUUUUAUGACCCAUUGUGGAUGGAACUCAACUAUUGAGGGGGUGAGCAACGGUAUGCCUUUAAUCUGUUGGCCUUACUCAGUUACAUAGUGGAUACAUGGAAGGUUGCGUUGGAGUUGGAGGGUAACAAGGAUGGGAUCUUCUCCAAGGAAGAGAUGAGGGGCAAGGUAGAGGAAUUGUUGGGUGAUCAAGCAAUCAGGGAGAGGGCUCUCAAGCUCAAGGAGCAGGCCAUUUAUAGUGUUACUGAGGGAACUUCUAGGAAGAAUCUUACUAGUUUUAUUGAGGCAAUGAAAAGGCAAGCGUGAUUAUAUUUUCAGAAAUUUAAGCUAAUAUCUUUUUUUAGUUGUGUAAUAAAAAUUAAAGUUUUGAAUCAAUUUGGAAAUUCAACUUCCAAGCCGAUGAGACUUAAUCUUCUGUCUCGAUGGUCGGUUCAAAACUUCUACUACCAAACUGAGUAGUUCACAAUUUAGUUGGUCCAACUCUCGAAGUUCUGAACUAACCACAAGAUUAAAAAUAAAAAAAUAAAACAAGUUCACAACUUUGAGUUUUGAACCAAAGUAGUUCUGGAAAAUAACAAAAUACAGAAGGACAUGAUCUUAAAAUGUAUAAAAUUGAGAUUUUUUUUUAAUACCACUAAAUAAAAGAGAUAUCAGCAUAUAUUUCCUUAUAUUUUGUUUGAGGUAUGUGCGCCUAUGUAGUCACAACCAUUGUCGUCAAUAUCUCAAGUUGAUACAAUAAAAUAGUAUCUUAAGAAUUUUUUUUUUUUUAAUGCCUCACAUUGUCCACAUACCUCACAGAAUUUUAACUUCUAGUUUUAGUUUCUGAUAUAUGCAAUGGGGCGGUGUUUAUUUAAUCCCUUGUAGCUUUUGAUUGGAGAAAGCGAGAGAGAGGGAGGGAGAGGAAAAGGACAACCGAACUCUGCAAUCUUAAAUCGUGGAGAGAGGAAAGAGAGAGAAGAGGUUUCCUAAACACAGAUCAAAACUCUGUAAGACCAAACAUAUAAUUGGAGAGAGAGAGAGAGAGAGAGG
rnacentral:lncRNA from 1 species